rnacentral:rRNA from 1 species
UACGUAGGGUGCGAGCGUUAAUCGGAAUUACUGGGCGUAAAGCGUGCGCAGGCGGUUCGUUGUGUCCGAUGUGAAAGCCCCGGGCUUAACCUGGGAAUGGCAUUGGAAACUGGCGGGCUUGAGUGCGGCAGAGGGGGAUGGAAUUCCGCGUGUAGCAGUGAAAUGCGUAGAUAUGCGGAGGAACACCGAUGGCGAAGGCAAUCCCCUGGGCCUGCACUGACGCUCAUGCACGAAAGCGUGGGGAGCAAACAGG